rnacentral:lncRNA from 1 species
AUAUUGUAGAUGAUCCGAGCCAAGAAUUCUGAGUAGUCAUAACGAGGGAUUCUUAUUGCGAUGCAACCAUCCUGGUCUGCAGUGCCUUUGGCCGGCGCAGCAGGACGUGCCGGGGAAAUGGAAAUCUUGCUGGCGCCAUGUCGCGUCCGGGACAGAAACAGUGUCUUGUGGAAAAUGGGAAAAAUGGCAAAAAAAAUAUGUGUGAAAUGUUCACGGGCCAAACAAUGGCACAGAGAAUACAAAAUUCUAGUUGUUUACGGGUAAGGGACUGGGAGUCAGGUGUCAUCCGUGCAGAGUCCUGUGUGGCACAUUGACAAGUUAAUUUUUGUUGUUCC